UCGUUAGCUCAGCGGUAGAGCAUCCGGCUGUUAACCGGGCGGUCGUAGGUUCAAAUCCUACACGA
rnacentral:tRNA from 1 species